rnacentral:rRNA from 1 species
CCUACGGGAGGCAGCAGUAAGGAAUAUUGGUCAAUGGGCGCAAGCCUGAACCAGCCAUGCCGCGUGCAGGAUGACUGCCCUAUGGGUUGUAAACUGCUUUUGUACGGGAAGAAACCCUGAUACGUGUAUCAGGUUGACGGUACCGUAAGAAUAAGGACCGGCUAACUUCGUGCCAGCAGCCGCGGUAAUACGAAGGGUCCAAGCGUUAUCCGGAUUUAUUGGGUUUAAAGGGUGCGUAGGCGGCUUAUUAAGUCAGUGGUGAAAGCCCAGAGCUCAACUCUGGAACUGCCAUUGAUACUGGUGAGCUUGAAUAUAGUUGAGGUGGGCGGAAUAUGACAUGUAGCGGUGAAAUGCUUAGAUAUGUCAUAGAACACCGAUUGCGAAGGCAGCUUGCUAAACUAUUAUUGACGCUGAGGCACUAAAGCGUGGGGAUCAAACAGGAUUAGAUACCCUGGUAGUCCACGCCCUAAACGUUGAUAACUCGUUAUGUGCGAUAUACAGUACGUGACUAAGCGAAAGCAUAAGUUAUCACCUGGAAGUACGGUCGCAAGAUUGAAACUCAAAGGAAUUGACGGCUGAGAGAGACGACGGACGACACGAGGGAGGAGG